AGUGAACGCUGGCGGUAGGCCUAACACAUGCAAGUCGAACGGCAGCACAGUAAGAGCUUGCUCUUACGGGUGGCGAGUGGCGGACGGGUGAGGAAUACCUCGGAAUCUACUUUUUCGUGGGGGAUAACGUAGGGAAACUUACGCUAAUACCGCAUACGACCUACGGGUGAAAGCAGGGGAUCUUCGGACCUUACGCGAUUGAAUGAGCCGAUGUCGGAUUAGCUAGUUGGCGGGGUAAAGGCCCACCAAGGCGACGAUCCGUAGCUGGUCUGAGAGGAUGAUCAGCCACACUGGAACUGAGACACGGUCCAGACUCCUGCGGGAGGCAGCAGUGGGGAAUAUUGGACAAUGGGCGCAAGCCUGAUCCAGCCAUACCGCGUGGGUGAAGAAGGCCUUCGGGUUGUAAAGCCCUUUUGUUGGGAAAGAAAAGCAGCAGGUUAAUACCCCGCUGUUCUGACGGUACCCAAAGAAUAAGCACCGGCUAACUUCGUG
rnacentral:rRNA from 1 species